rnacentral:rRNA from 1 species
ACUCAAAUGAAUUGACGGGGGCCCGCACAAGCAGCGGAGCGUGUGGUUUAAUUCGAUGCAACGCGAAGAACCUUACCUGCGCUUGACAUGGAGUUGCACCAGGGGUAAUGCCCUGUCCGGUUUACCGGCGGCUCCACAGGUGCUGCAUGGCUGUCGUCAGCUCGUGCCGUGAGGUGUUGGGUUAAGUCCCCUAACGAGCGCAACCCCUGAGGUCCGUUACCUUGGUGUCGGGCCUGACUGCCGCGCGCAACGCGGAGGAAGGUGGGGAUGACGUCAAGUCAGCACGGCCCUGACGCGCAGGGCGACACACACGCUACAAUGGCCGGUACAACGGGUUGCCAAGCCGCGAGGCGGAGCCAAUCCCAGCAAAGCCGGUCUCAGUUCGGAUGGCAGGCUGCAACUCGCCUGCCUGAAGUCGGAGUUGCUAGUAACCGCGGGUCAGCACACCGCGGUGAAUACGUUCCCGGGCCUUGCACACACCGCCCGU